CACGUAGGCGGAAGGGCAAGUCAGAUGUGAAAUCCCAGGGCUUAACCGUGGGCCUGCAUUUGAAACUGCUUUUCUUGAGUACCGGAGAGGAUGGCAGAAUUCCUGGUGUAGCGGUGAAAUGCGUAGAUAUCAGGAAGAAUACCGGUGGCGAAGGCGACCAUCUGGACGGAUACUGACGCUGAGGUGCGAAGGCCGGGGGAGCAAACAGGAUUAGAUACCCUGGUAGUCC
rnacentral:rRNA from 1 species